AAUAGGCCUACUAAUAUUGCUGUCAAUACGUUCUCAUCUGCAACAAGGAAAUAAAAAAAAUUCUGUGUAUCCUCUGUGUAAUAACAGUGGAAAUGAUCGCCAACUUUACUUGUAGUUAAGACAUUAAGAAUCUGUAUAUGACCCAUAUAUGAAAACAGCGGGAGGAACGUGACUUGAGUAAUACGGAUCAGGUGAUUCAUAGAGACAUUCAGAGGAUCAUAACUGGAUAUCUGUCUGGGUCACUGGCUCAAACAUACACAAGCUCUUCCUCUGUCAGUCAGUCACUCAGAUCUGAUUUGUGCACCAUUACCCUCUAAAACUACAAAUGCAUCCUAUAUUGAUCGGUAUUGUGACUGCCAACUCAACUUUAACCAUUGUCUACUGGAACUUUCUUGUGUCUCAAGUGUUCUGCAAGAAACUGAAGGAUGCACCUGAACCAGAGGAAGUUCCUGUCUGAAUUAAGAUCUUGAUUCUGAUCUGGUCAUGAUGGAGAUGAAGACCCAACUAUAUCAUUGUGGGAGGAGGAAGAAAAGAAAAAUAAAGACUCAACAGAUGAAACCCAAAUGAGGACCAGAAGAGAAAUCUAAACCAUCAUCAGUUGCAAUCAUUACCAUGUGACACAUUGAACCAAAAAAUACACAUAUUGCUUAGAAUCUGUAGGAGAUGCAUUUUUGUAAAACAUUCUUACUGUUGAUUUGUUUGUAGUAACUUCAAGCAACUUCUUGUAUUAAUAAAUAUAACCAGUACAUUAAUGAUCUAUUUAGAAAAUAUAUUUGUUUUUGGAAAACUCUGGGUACAGCAUGUCUGUGGAUCACAAAACCAGUCAAGUAGC